CGCCGUCCGGGGCUAGAGCAAGCGCGCCCGCGCGGCCGGGAGCCAUGCUGAGGAGCUGCGCCGCGCGCCUCCGCACGCUGGGGGCCCUGCGCGGGCCGGCGGGAGGCCGGCGCCUGCCGGGUAGGGAGCCGCGACCUGCGCUGAGGUCAUUUUCUUCUGAGGAAGUCAUUCUUAAGGAUUAUUCUGUCCCCAACCCCAGCUGGAACAAGGACCUAAGACUGCUCUUUGACCAGUUUAUGAAGAAAUGUGAAGACGGCUCCUGGAAACGUUUGCCUUCAUAUAAACGUAUACCUGCUGAAAAGAUUCAAGACUUCAAAACCCAUUUGCUUGACCCAAAGCUUGUGAAAGAAGAACAAAUGUCACAGACCCAGCUCUUCACCAGAAGCUUUGAUGAUGGCCUGGGCUUUGAAUACGUGAUGUUCUACAGUGACGUCGAGAAAAGGAUGGUUUGCUUAUUUCAAGGAGGCCCUUACCUGGAAGGACCACCUGGAUUCGUUCAUGGAGGUGCCAUUGCAACCAUGAUUGAUAGUACUGUUGGUAUGUGUGCAUUGAUGGCUGGGGGAGUCGUCAUGACUGCCAGUCUCAACAUCAAUUAUAAAAGACCUAUCCCUCUUUGCUCUGUUGUUAUGAUAAAUAGCCAACUUGAUAAAGUUGAAGGAAGGAAAUUUUUUGUUUCCUGUAAUGUUCAGAGUGUUGAUGAGCAGACCCUAUACUCAGAGGCAACAAUUCUCAAGAUUCUUGCCAGAGAAGACAGAGUUGAAGGAUGA